AAACUGGGAUUAGAUACCCCACUAUGCCAAGUUGUAAACUUUAAUUUACACCCCUCCCAUCGCCAGGAGACUACGAGCUAAGCUUAAAACCCAAAGGACUUGACGGUACCCCACAUCCCCCUAGAGGAGCCUGUCCCAUAAUUGAUAACCCCCACUAAACCUCACCAUUCUUAGUCCAUCAGCCUGUAUACUUCCGUCGUCAGCUAACCACAUGAGUGAAACUCAGUAAGCCCAACGGCCCUCGCCAAAACGUCAGGUCAAAGUGCAGCAAAUAGAAUGGGAUCAGAUGGGCUACACUUUCUAGUAUAGAAAAUAACGAAAGACUAUGUGAAACCCGAGUCAGAAGGUGGAUUUAGAAGUAAAAAGAAAUCAGAGAGUUCUUUUUAACCUGGUACUGGGGUGUGUACACACCGCCCCGUCACCCUCA
rnacentral:rRNA from 1 species